GAUGAAGAACGUAGCGAAAUGCGAUAAGUAAUGUGAAUUGCAGAAUUCAGUGAAUCAUCGAAUCUUUGAACGCACAUUGCGCCCGCCAGUAUUCUGGCGGGCAUGCCUGUCCGAGCGUCAUUUCAACCCUCGAACCCCUCCGGGGGGUCGGCGUUGGGGAUCGGCCCUUUACGGGGCCGGCCCCGAAAUACAGUGGCGGUCUCGCCGCAGCCUCUCCCGCGCAGUAGUUUGCACACUCGCAUCGGGAGCGCGGCGCGUCCACAGCCGUUAAACACCCCAACCUUCUGAAAUGUUGACCUCGGAUCAGGUAGGAAUACCCGCUGAACUUAAGCAUAUCAAUAAGCGGAGGA
rnacentral:misc_RNA from 1 species